UACGUAGGGCGCAAGCGUUGUCCGGAAUUAUUGGGCGUAAAGAGCUCGUAGGCGGCCAGUUGCGUCCGCUGUGAAAUCCCGGGGCUUAACCCCGGGCGUGCAGUGGAUACGGGCUGGCUAGAGGCAGGCAGGGGAGAACGGAAUUCCCGGUGUAGCGGUGAAAUGCGCAGAUAUCGGGAGGAACACCGGUGGCGAAGGCGGCUUUCUGGUCCGAAACUGACACUGAGAUGCGAAAGCCAGGGGAGCAAACGGG
rnacentral:rRNA from 1 species